UCCUUCCAUCCCACAGGGCUGAUGGCGGACGUGACAUUGGAUGAGUCCGGAGGCGGCCUCUACGCGCCCAGAGGAGCCGUCAGCCUCGUCUGCAAGGGCUCAGGGUUCACCUUCAGUGAUCAUGCCAUGCAGUGGGUGCGACAGGCACCAGGAAAGGGGCUGGAAUGGGUCGCUGGUAUUAAUAGUGCUGCUUAUAGUAGUAGCACAUUCUACGCACCGGCGGUGAAGGGCCGUGCCACCAUCACGAGGGACAACGGGCAGAGCACAGUGAGGCUGCAGCUGAACAGCCUGAAGGACGAGGACUCGGCCAUGUAUUACUGCGCCAAACGUGCUGAUGGUGGUAGUGGUUGGGCUGGUGCUGCUAAGAUCAACGUGGCUGCUGGAUUUAAUGGGAUCAGCCAUUGCCCAGACUGGGAGCUCAGAGCCCAGGUGCUGGAGCUGAGCCCACAGUGUGAGCCUGUGUCGAUCGCAUCGAUGCUGAUCCUGGAUUGA